rnacentral:rRNA from 1 species
GGGCAAACGGGUGCGUAACACGUGGAUUACAUUCCAGAAAGCGCGGGAUAGCCCAGGGAAACUUGGAUUAAUACCGCAUGUGGUCGCAAGACUAAAGGCGCAAGCCGCUUUCUGAUUGGUCCGCGGCCUAUUAGCUAGUUGGUGAGGUAAAAGCUCACCAAGGCAACGACGGGUAGCUGGUCUGAGAGGACGACCAGCCACACUGGAACUGAGACACGGUCCAGACACCUACGGGUGGCAGCAGUCGAGAAUCUUUCACAAUGGGGGCAACCCUGAUGGAGCGACGCCGCGUGGAGGAUAAGGUCUUCGGAUUGUAAACUCCUGUCAUGCGAGAGCAAGACAUGGCAACAUGUUUGAUAGUAUCGCAAGAGGAAGAGACGGCUAACUCUGUGCCAGCAGCCGCGAUAAUACAGAGGUCUCAAGCGUUGUUCGGAAUCACUGGGCGUAAAGGGUGCGUAGGCGGCGGAGAAAGUCUGGUGUGAAAUUUGCGAGCUCAACUCGCAACUAGCACCUGAUACUACUUUGCUAGAGACCUGGAGAGGAGCUUGGAAUUCUCGGUGUAGCAGUGAAAUGCGUAGAUCUCGAGAGGAACACUCGCUGCGAAGCGAAGCUCUGGCCAGCGUCUGACGCUGAGGCACGAAGGCUAGGGGAGCGAACGGGAUUAGAUACCCCGGUAGUCCUAGCUGUAAACGGUGCAUGUUUGGUGUUGGGGAGUUAGACCUCCUCAGUGCCGUAGCUAACGCGUUAAACAUGCCGCCUGGGAAGUACGAUCGCAAGAUUAAAACUCAAAGAAAUUGACGGGGACCCGCACAAGCGGUGGAGUAUGUGGCUUAAUUCGAUGCAACGCGAAGAACCUUACCUGGAUUUGACAUGCAUUGUGUCUCCGGUGAAAGCCGGAUAUUGUUGAAAUAUACAAGCUUUGCACAGGUGCUGCAUGGCUGUCGUCAGCUCGUGUCGUGAGAUGUUGGGUUAAGUCCCGCAACGAGCGCAACCCUCGUGGUUUGUUGCCACCGGAUUUAUUUCCGAGCACUCAAACCAUACUGCCCAGAUUAACUGGGAGGAAGGCGAGGAUGACGUCAAGUCAGUAUGGCCCUUACGUCCAGGGCUGCACACGUACUACAAUGCCCAACACAAAUAGAUCCUAGACUGCAAAGUGGAGGAAAUCUCAAAAAAUUGGGCUCAGUUCAGAUUGCAGGCUGCAACUCGCCUGCAUGAAGUAGGAAUCGCUAGUAAUGAUGCAUCAGCUACGGCAUCGUGAAUACGUUCCCGGGUCUUGUACACACCGCCCGUCACAUCAUGGAAAUUGGUAUCGCCCUAAGCGCUUGGUUUUAGUAUCGAGCUCUAAGGUGAUACUGGUAACUAGGAUGAAGUCGUAACAAGGUA